rnacentral:rRNA from 1 species
AGAGUUUGAUCCUGGCUCAGGACGAACGCUGGCGGCGUGCUUAACACAUGCAAGUCGAGCGGAAAGGCCCUUCGGGGUACUCGAGCGGCGAACGGGUGAGUAACACGUGAGUAAUCUGCUUAGCUCUGGGAUAGCUCCGGGAAACCGGGAUUAAUACCAGAUAGGACCACUUUAGACAUCUUUUGUGGUGGAAAGAAUUU